rnacentral:tRNA from 1 species
GAGUUGGCUUGAAACUAACUGUUGGAGGUUCGAUUCCUUCCCUUCUCG